rnacentral:rRNA from 1 species
UACGGAGGGAGCUAGCGUUGUUCGGAAUUACUGGGCGUAAAGCGCACGUAGGCGGCUUUGUAAGUUAGAGGUGAAAGCCCGGGGCUCAACUCCGGAACUGCCUUUAAGACUGCAUCGCUUGAAUCCAGGAGAGGUGAGUGGAAUUCCGAGUGUAGAGGUGAAAUUCGUAGAUAUUCGGAAGAACACCAGUGGCGAAGGCGGGUCUCUGGGCAACAACUGACGCUGAGGAGCGAAAGCGUGGGGAGCGAACAGG